CCUACGGGGGGCAGCAGUGGGGGAUAUUGCACAAUGGGGGAAACCCUGAUGCAGCGACGCCGCGUGGGUGAAGAAGCGCCUCGGCGCGUAAAGCCCUGUCAGCAGGGAAGAAAAUGACGGUACCUGAAGAAGAAGCCCCGGCUAACUACGUGCCAGCAGCCGCGGUAAUACGUAGGGGGCAAGCGUUAUCCGGAUUUACUGGGUGUAAAGGGAGCGUAGACGGUGAGACAAGUCUGAAGUGAAAGCCCGGGGCUCAACCCCGGGACUGCUUUGGAAACUGCCUGACUGGAGUGCUGGAGAGGCAAGCGGAAUUCCUAGUGUAGCGGUGAAAUGCGUAGAUAUUAGGAAGAACACCAGUGGCGAAGGCGACUUGCUGGACAGUAACUGACGUUGAGGCUCGAAAGCGUGGGGAGCAAACAGGAUUAGAUACCCCAGUAGUC
rnacentral:rRNA from 1 species